rnacentral:sRNA from 13 species
GCUGGGCAUGGUGGCGCGUGCCUGUAAUCCCAGCUACUCGGGAGGCUGAGGCAGGAGAAUUGCCUGAACCCAGGAGGCGGAGGUUGCGGUGAGCCGAGAUCGCGCCAUUGCACUCCAGCCUGGGUAACUAGCGAAACUCCAUCUCAAUAAAAAAAAUAAAAAAGGAGAAGAUUACUUGGAACUGUGGUGCCAGCCUUUUUUUUUUUUUUUUGAGACUGAAUCACCUAGGCUGAAGUGCAAUGGCACGAUCCUGGCAUCCUCCGCCUCCUAGGUUCAAGCGAUUCUCCUGCCUCAG